rnacentral:rRNA from 1 species
GAUGAACGCUGGCGGCGUGCCUAAUACAUGCAAGUCGAGCGAACGGACGAGAAGCUUGCUUUUCUGAUGUUAGCGGCGGACGGGUGAGUAACACGUGAAUAACCUACCUAUAAGACUGGGAUAACUUCGGGAAACCGGAGCUAAUACCGGAUAAUAUUUUGAACCGCAUGGUUCAAAAGUGAAAGACGGUCUUGCUGUCACUUAUAGAUGGAUCCGCGCUGCAUUAGCUAGUUGGUAAGGUAACGGCUUACCAAGGCAACGAUGCAUAGCCGACCUGAGAGGGUGAUCGGCCACACUGGAACUGAGACACGGUCCAGACUCCUACGAGAGGCAGCAGUAGGGAAUAUUGCGCAAUGGGCGAAAGCCUGACGGAGCAACGCCGCGUGAGUGAUGAAGGUCUUAGGAUCGUAAAACUCUGUUAUUAGGGAAGAACAUAUGUGUAAGUAACUGUGCACAUCUUGACGGUACCUAAUCAGAAAGCCACGGCUAACUACGUG